CGUGUAGGCGGCUUUUUAAGUCUGGAGUGAAAGCCCCAUUUUCAAGGUGGGGAGUGCUUUGGAGACUGGAGAGCUUGAGUGCGGAAGAGGUAAGUGGAAUUCCCAGUGUAGCGGUGAAAUGCGUAGAGAUUGGGAGGAACACCAGUGGCGAAGGCGACUUACUGGGCCGUAACUGACGCUGAGGCGCGAAAGCGUGGAGAGCGAACA
rnacentral:rRNA from 1 species